rnacentral:lncRNA from 1 species
AUUAAACUUUAUCAUAGGUAUAUUUGUACAGGAAAAAACAUAAUAUGUACUGGAUUCAGUACUUUCUGCAGUUUCAGGCAUCCCCUGGGGGUUUUGGCAUCCUCUGUGGAUAAGGGGAGACUACUGUAUAAGGAUCAAAACCAGGAAAUGAACUUUACUACUAUUAUCUAAUCUACAAUCCUAUUUCAGAUUUUGCCAAUUUUUUAAAUAAUUGCUAUAGCAAAAGAAAAAUCCCAAAUCAUUUGUUGCAUUUGAUUGUUUUGUCUCUUAACUCUCCUUUAAUAUGGACAAUUCUUCAGUCUGUGUUUUUCAUGACAUUGACAUUGUUGAUAAAAACAGGCUACUGAUUUGGUAGAAUGCCCCUCAAUUUGGAUUUGUCUGAUGUUUUCUUACGAUUAGAUUUAGGUUGUAGAUUUUUCUUGCUGGAAUACCAGAUAAGUGAUAUUGUGCAUUAUAUCAGGAGACACAUAAUGCUGAUUUGUCCCAUUACUAACUUUGGUGAUAACUUUGCUCACUUGCUGAAGGUGGUGUGUGCCGGGGUUCUCUAUUAUAAAGUUACUAAGUAUCUCUUGGCAAGAAACUUUGAAACUAUGUCAAUACCCUGUUCACUUCUCAGAAUUUCAACCAUUAGUUUUAGUAUAUAUUGUUGAUUCUUGCCUAGAUUAAUUAUUAUUAUUAUGGUUGCCAAAUGUUUAUUCUAAUUUCAUCGUUUCUUUUAUAUUUAUUAGUUGGCUUUCUGCUAUAUGGAAAAACUUUCCCUUCUCCCCCGUUUAUUAUAUCAGUGUGGACUAAUGGAUUCGUAUUUUAUUCUCAGUGUUAUACACUUUUACUAUCAUUAAGCGUUUUGAUGCUCAGAUUGUCCCAGAUUUGGCCAGAGAGCACCCCUUCAAGCUGGCGCAUGUGAACUUCUGACACUGUUCCAGCUCCUUUACACAGGUCUGACCCUCUUCUGCACACCUUUAACUGCUGCCUCAAGUUUGGUUCUAACCCCGUGAAUCUCCUGUAACCGUGGUACUCUACCCUCUACUCUAAGUAUCCAUCCUCAUUGCCAAGAUUCCUG